UGCCAGCCGCCGCGGUAAUACGGAGGGGGUUAGCGUUGUUCGGAAUUACUGGGCGUAAAGCGCGCGUAGGCGGAUUGGAAAGUUGGGGGUGAAAUCCCGAGGCUCAACCUCGGAACUGCCUCCAAAACUCCCAGUCUAGAGUUCGAGAGAGGUGAGUGGAAUUCCAAGUGUAGCAGUGAAAUGCGUGGAUAUCAGGAGGAACAUCAAUGGCGAAGGCAACUUACUGGACAUUUACUGACGCUCAGACACGGAGGCUAGGGGAGCGAAAGGGAUUAGAUA
rnacentral:rRNA from 1 species